rnacentral:rRNA from 1 species
CUGGGCUCGAAAUGCAGAUGACCAUCGGCGAAAGUCGACUUCCGCAAGGACAUCUGUAUAGGUGCUGCAUGGCUGUCGUCAGCUCGUGUCGUGAGAUGUUGGGUUAAGUCCCGCAACGAGCGCAACCCUUGUUCUCUGUUGCCAUCAGGUCAAGCUGGGCACUCUGAGGAGACUGCCGGUGACAAACCGGAGGAAGGUGGGGAUGACGUCAAGUCAGCAUGGCCUUUAUGUCCAGGGCUACACACGUGCUACAAUGGCCAGUACAAAGCGUCGCAAGCCCGCGAGGGUGAGCCAAUCGCAUAAAGCUGGUCUCAGUUCGGAUUGCAGGCUGCAACUCGCCUGCAUGAAGUUGGAAUCGCUAGUAAUCGCGGAUCAGCAUGCCGCGGUGAAUACGUUCCC